GAUGUACUCCCUCCGUCUGGAAAUACUUGUUAUUAAAAUAGAUGAAAAUGAAUGUAUCUACAACUAAAAUACAUUUAGAUACAUCCAUUUUAAUGACAAGUAUUUUCGGACGGAGGGAGUAUGAU
rfam:Triticum aestivum genome assembly, contig: Triticum_aestivum_CS42_TGACv1_scaffold_129970_2BL